GGGGAUAACCCCGGGAAACUGGGGCUAAUCCCCCAUAGGACCUGGGGUACUGGAAGGUCCCCAGGCCGAAAGGGGCAUCUGCCCGCCCGAGGAUGGGCCGGCGGCCGAUUAGGUAGUUGGUGGGGUAACGGCCCACCAAGCCGAAAGAUCGGUACGGGCCAUGAGAGUGGGAGCCCGGAGAUGGACACUGAGACACGGGUCCAGGCCCUACGGGGCGCAGCAGGCGACGAAACCUCCGCAAUGCGGGCAACCGCGACGGGGGGACCCCCAGUGCCGGGGUAUCGCCACGGCUUUUCCGGAGUGUAACAAGCUCCGGGAAUAAGGGCUGGGCAAGGCUGGUGGCAGGCCGCCGCGGUCAUACCGGCGGCCCAAGUGGUGGCAGCUAUUAUUGGGCCUAAAGCGUCCGUAGCCGGGCCCGUAAGUCCCUGGCGAAAUCCCACGGCUCAACCGUGGGGCUUGCUGGGGAUACUGCGGGCCUUGGGACCGGGAGAGGCGGGGGGUACCCCUGGGGUAGGGGUGAAAUCCUAUAAUCCCAGGGGGACCGCCAGUGGCGCAGGCGCCCCGCUGGCACGGGUCCGACGGUGAGGUACGAAGGCCAGGGGAGAGAACCGGUAUUAGAUACCCGGGUAGUCCUGGCUGUCAAGGAUGCGGGACUAGGUGUCGGGCGAGCUUCGAGCUCGCCCGGUGCCGGAGGGAAGCCGCUAAGCCCCCCGCCUGGGGAGUACGGCCGCAAGGCAGAAACUUAAAGGUACAUUGGCGGGGGAGCCAC
rnacentral:rRNA from 1 species